rnacentral:rRNA from 1 species
CAGCAAUGCCGCGUGAGUGAAGAAGGCCUUCGGGUUGUAAAGCUCUUUUGUCAGGGAAGAAACGGUAGAGGCUAAUAUCCUUUGCUAAUGACGGUACCUGAAGAAUAAGCACCGGCUAACUACGUGCCAGCAGCCGCGGUAAUACGUAGGUGGCAAGCGUUGUCCGGAAUUAUUGGGCGUAAAGAGCUCGUAGGCGGUUUGUUGCGUCGGCUGUGAAAACCUGAGGCUCAACCUCAGGCCUGCAGUCGAUACGAGCAGACUAGAGUGUUGCAGGGGAGACUGGAAUUCCUGGUGUAGCGGUGAAAUGCGCAGAUAUCAGGAGGAACACCGGUGGCGAAGGCGGGUCUCUGGGCAGUAACUGACGCUGAGGAGCGAAAGCGUGGGGAGCGAACAGGAUUAGAUACCCUGGUAGUCCACGCCGUAAACGUUGGGCGCUAGGUGUGGGGCUCAUUCCACGAGUUCCGUGCCGCAGCUAACGCAUUAAGCGCCCCGCCUGGGGAGUACGGCCGCAAGGCUAAAACUCAAAG